rnacentral:rRNA from 1 species
UACGUAGGGUGCGAGCGUUGUCCGGAAUUAUUGGGCGUAAAGGGCUCGUAGGCGGUUUGUUGCGUCGGGAGUGAAAACCCAGGGCUUAACUCUGGGCUUGCUUCCGAUACGGGCAGACUUGAGGUAUUCAGGGGAGAACGGAAUUCCUGGUGUAGCGGUGAAAUGCGCAGGAUAAUCAGGAGGAACACCGGUGGCGAAGGCGGUUCUCUGGGAAUUACCUGACGCUGAGGAGCGAAAGUGUGGGGAGCGAACAGG